rnacentral:rRNA from 1 species
AAGACCUUGCGCUUUUGGAGCGGCCGAKGCCUGAUUAGCUUGUUGGUAAGGUAAAGGCUUACCAAGGCUUCGAUCAGUAGCUGGUCUGAGAGGACGGCCAGCCACACUGGGACUGAGACACGGCCCAGACUCCUACGGGAGGCAGCAGUGGGGAAUUUUGGACAAUGGGGGAAACCCUGAUCCAGCCAUGCCGCGUGAGUGAAGAAGGCCUUCGGGUUGUAAAGCUCUUUCAGCCGGAACGAAACGGUUACGGAUAAUACCCGUGACUACUGACGGUACCGGAAGAAGAAGCACCGGCUAACUACGUGCCAGCAGCCGCGGUAAUACGUAGGGUGCGAGCGUUAAUCGGAAUUACUGGGCGUAAAGCGUGCGCAGGUGGUUUUGUAAGUCAGAUGUGAAAGCCCCGGGCUCAACCUGGGAACU